rnacentral:rRNA from 1 species
GACGAACGCUGGCGGCGUGCUUAACACAUGCAAGUCGAACGGGCCCGCACCUUUUUUUUGGGGGCGGGUUGAGUGGCGAACGGGUGAGUAUCACGUGAGUAACCUGCCCUCCUCUCCUGGAUAACCGCUUGAAAGGGCGGCUAAUACGGGGUGGUCCGGUUGGUCCGCAUGGGCCGGCUGGGAUAGUUUCAUCUUCGGGUGUUUCGGUGGGGGAUGGGCUCGCGGCCUAUCAGCUUGUUGGUGGGGUGAUGGCCUACCAAGGCGGUGACGGGUAGCCGGCCUGAGAGGGUGGGCGGCCACACUGGGACUGAGACACGGCCCAGACUCCUCGGGAGGCAGCAGUGGGGGGUAUUGCACAAUGGGCGGAAGCCUGAUGCAGCGACGUCGCGUGAGGGAUGGAGGCCUUCGGGUUGUGAACCUCUGUUUCCGGUGGUGAAGGCCCUGCCCU